rnacentral:rRNA from 1 species
UACGUAGGGUGCGAGCGUUGUCCGGAAUUAUUGGGCGUAAAGAGCUCGUAGGCGGUGUGUCACGUCGUUCGUGAAAACCUGCAGCUUAACUGUGGGCUUGCGGUCGAUACGGGCAUCACUGGAGUUCGGCAGGGGAGACUGGAAUUCCUGGUGUAGCGGCGAAAUGCGCAGAUAUCAGGAGGAACACCGGUGGCGAAGGCGGGUCUCUGGGCCGAUACUGACGCUGAGGAGCGAAAGCGUGGGGAGCGAACAGG